UUGUCAAGGACAUGCUCUCCGUAGUACAAGUUUGACGGUGAAAUGAACGAGUUUGUGCGUAAUGAUUUUUUAUUUGUUCAUUUGUUCGUUUUUUUUUUUUUUUUUGAGGGCAAAACUUGAACUGAUUUGCAGCAGUUUGUCGCCAGUGUUUUUAAGUGUUAGUAUGAAAAAUAGUAUGUUGUGUUAUCUGAUGUAUUUGCAUGUUUAUUGCGCGGGUUUUACCCGAAUUCCACGUUAUGUAACACAUCGAAAAGAUAGAACAAAGACUACACCUGGCUACAUUUUUCUUCACAGUACCUGCGCAUGGUUACAUGAAGCGAGAAGCAAAAUGCUGAUGCAUCGUUACUCAGUAUUACAAAGAAAAAAUUAAAAAAAAACAAUUAGUGAACCGAAGAACAUUAACUUGUGAUGUGGAACAGUUGGUUGGAAGGACGUUUUUAAAGUAAGCGCACAACCGCAUCAACGAAGAACCGCAGCGCGCAAUAAAGUUGCCAUGGACAUGGAAAUGCAGUUUUCCAACGCCAAAACAUUAAUCCGGGAAAUUGUGUAAGGGACAACAGCACUUUAAAAAAAAAAAUAGUCAAGAUGCAUCACUGGGUUCUCGUUAUUCGAAAGAGGCUCCCAACAAAGUUCUCAUGAAAGACAAAUUAAUUUUAUGGAGCGAGAUUUCUUGUUGUUUUUGUUUUUUUCAUGGAUUUUUUUUUUCUUCACCUUGACGUAUUUUAAUUCUUUUAAUUGACGAAAAAGACUAAUAUGGUUCUCUCUGCCUAAACAUCAACUUCUGCCAAGGCUCAGCCAUGGGUUUCUAUUGUUUGGAAAUUCCGGUUUAUUAUUUCAACAAGAAAACCAAGUGGCAACUACGGUGGGCAUUGCCAGUGACAGCUUGCAACCAAAAUGUAAAUAGCCUUCAGAUCAAACAGGAACUCUCAUUUGUACCUCAUCAUAUGCGUGUGCCAAAUGAAGUGGUUUACUAUGACAAACAAAAACAACUGUGUGUCCUUCAACAAUCUACGUCGCCAAACGCAGUUUAUCAAGCUGUCCAAUAGUGUGAAUUGCAUUCAAAUUUAGAUCGGACCAUAGCUGCGCAUAGCCGGCUUCUUUUCAUUGAAUCCUCAGCGGUUUCCUCCCAUUCGUUUGUAGUGAGGUUAUAGAGAACACGCAAAUACACACCCAAACAAUGAAUAAUGCCGAAAGGGAAACCAGAAUUACAGGUUCCAACUAUUGGCUAACACGUCAAAUUAUAUGACCUUCAAACAACUAACGAAGCUAUAUAUAUAUACAAACAACAUCAACGUCUUCAAACAUCUUUAGUAUUUGGAAUUUAAAAAAAAAAAACAAAAAACAUGCCAUCUGUCCCGUACAACAUUGAAAAGUUUCCUUGUGCAAUUCUUCGGCAUUGCUUUCUUGCGUAAUGUAAAGAAAUGUACUGGGUACAUGAACUAAUAAUAGCGUGUGAGUAACCUAAUAAUUACUUUGCCUGUUUUAUGUUUUUCACCUGCCGCGUUAUACAUUUGCAAGCACGAAAAGAUUGCUCCAGGCUGAACGUGAAGCAUCGGCAGACCUUGAGACGUCGCCUUGUACAAGUAAAAAUGUUUGAAUCAGCUAAGUAUAAUUGUAAAAUUGGACGCGCAAUAUAAUUUAACAUUACAGGAAAAGAAUCCUAGCUCGAAAGAUGACAGCUAUUUGUCUCGGUCUCGGCUCAUUCUUAUAGCGAUGUCUGAAACAAAGCCUAUAGCUUUAACGCAUAAUCAUUCUUCCGUUUUACGCAUCAAACGGUUUUUAUUUUGUUUCUAAAAAAAAAAAAAUUGCUGUUUCCAAAGCCUGGCUGAGUUGUGAGGUGUAUCCCACAGGUAAGCAAAAUUACUAUUUUUCAAAACCAUAGAUAGAAAGAAACAAAUUGAUCUAAAAAUUGCCGUAUCGUUUAUUGACGCAAAAGAGUUGAUAACUGAAACAUAAUACGAUAAGAGAAAGUAGAUGCAAGUGCCACAGAGUAGUGCUGGUUACAUUCAGUUUGACAGCUACAUUUAGUAUAGAAAAUGGCAAGCUGAAUGUUGGUGGAACAUUCCGUUUAGCCAUGAUGGCGUCCACCGUAUGCACCGUAGUUUCCGCCAGGACGUCCACCGUAGUUUCCAGCGCGAUAUCCUCCAUAGUUUCCACUGAUUCCCCCACGAUAUCCUCCGUAACUGGCUCUGUGAUUUUCAGCCGUUUUCAAGUCUGCAACGACAUCCUCUUCGACGGAGCGGCCAAACCGGAAUUUAUUUCCGCUGUGUCCCCCAUAUCCUCCAUAGCCGCUGUGUCCUGCAUAUCCACCACGUCCCCCGUAACCACCGUAUCCACCAAAACCACCGUACGCACCGUACCUGUUCUCAGCAGCAUCCAAAUCGGUCAUUUGAUCGGCUAG